UACGGAGGAUCCAAGCGUUAUCCGGAUUUAUUGGGUUUAAAGGGUGCGUAGGCGGCCUAUUAAGUCAGGGGUGAAAGACGGUAGCUUAACUAUCGCAGUGCCUUUGAUACUGAUGGGCUUGAAUGAACUAGAGGUAGGCGGAAUGUGACAAGUAGCGGUGAAAUGCAUAGAUAUGUCACAGAACACCGAUUGCGAAGGCAGCUUACUAUGGUUUUAUUGACGCUGAGGCACGAAAGCGUGGGGAUCAAACAGG
rnacentral:rRNA from 1 species